UACGUAGGGUGCAAGCGUUAUCCGGAUUUAUUGGGCGUAAAGGGCUCGUAGGCGGUUCGUCGCGUCCGGUGUGAAAGUCCAUCGCUUAACGGUGGAUCCGCGCCGGGUACGGGCGGGCUUGAGUGCGGUAGGGGAGACUGGAAUUCCCGGUGUAACGGUGGAAUGUGUAGAUAUCGAGAGGAACACUCGUGGCGAAGGCGGGUUCCUGGACAUUAACUGACGCUGAGGCACGAAGGCCAGGGGAGCGAAAGGG
rnacentral:rRNA from 1 species